UAGGUUAAUAAAAUGAUUAAGAUUGAUUCUGUCUUAAAUUUGAAUUGGCUUUUUUGUUAAUAUUAAAUAUAAGUUUUUUGGCGUGUUAAUUAUUUUAUCUAAAUGAUAAUUUUAUUUUAUUUAUAGUUUUUAAUUUUGGAUAUUUCAUAAUUGUAGAUUCAGUUAAUUUAAGUAGAACCGUUUAAGGUUGUGCCAGCAUACGCGGUUAUACAUCCGGUUCAAGUUAAUUUUUUUGGUUGUUUAUUAAUUAUUUAUUUUGAGGAUUAGUUUUAUUUUAUAAGGUGAAAUUUUUAAUUUAUAUUAUAUUCUUUUGGUUUAAGAUAAUAAGAAAUUUGGAGUUAUAAACUAGGAUUAGAUACCCUAUUAUUCUAAAUGUAAAAGUUUAAUCAUAGUAUUAAUAGUUAUGAUCUUUAAAUUAAAAGGAUUUGGCGGUAAUUUAGUCUUUUCAGAGGAACCUGUUCUGUAAUCGAUAAUCCACGUUGGAUUCUACUUUAAUUUUUGUUUGUAUAUC
rnacentral:rRNA from 1 species